rnacentral:lncRNA from 1 species
GCGCCGGGCUCUGUGCGCAGGCGCUCAUCGGUCCUCGGUGGGGCGGCCGGGCGGUGUCGAGCUUCUCCGGGCGCGGUCGCGCGUGGGGCGGGCGGUGGGUCGCGGAGGUCGCGCCCUGGCCCGCGUCGGCAGCGCGACACGAUGGAGAGGGGCUCGGGAAAGAGGCACCGCCGCCUGCGUCGCGUCCACACUGAAUGGAGGCAGACCUGGGGGCCCCGAGCGAACGCGCAGGAAGGGCUGCUUUUGGGGGCGAGGCUGCGCUUGCUGCGGCCCAGAGGACAGAACGACAGACACCAUCCGGCCCCGCCAGCCAGGGAGGCUCCGUUGGAACAAGGCAUCUCUGCGGAGUCAAGAAAGAGGGGGACUCCAGAAACAGGAAUCUCACGGGAAGACCCACACCCCCCUCCAGCCUCUGACCCGAGAUGGAUCAGAGCUUCAGAGGAGAAGCACUGGAAACCCAGAAAAGGAGCGUAUGGCUCAGAGCGGCCAAGGCUUGAGUGAUUUGCCUACAAUCAGCUGCUGGGUACCUGGCUGGCACUGGACGUUUUGAGGCGAGAGUGGGUAAGCUCGAAUCAUCCUGGUCCUCUUCCCUCCUCCUCCAGGAGGGCCUUCCCGGGUUUUGGCACUCUUAGGAGAACAACACACAAUGCACAGAUCCCAG